AGGACUUAAAACCUUUUUGGUCUAGUCCACAAUCGAUUGUUCACAGGCACAAUCGAUUGUCCGUGUUUUUCUGAGUUUUCAAAAACUCUCUGUUUCUUGCAGAUUUUUCAGGAGCUAAGUGUCAAAUAGUUCAACAAUCGAUUGUCCCUUUCCAACAAUCGAUUGUCAAUCAGUAAAAAUCUCAAGAUUUGUUACCAUUCUGAAUUCUGAACUCG
rnacentral:lncRNA from 1 species